GAGUAAAGAAGUAAAUAUACAUUUAAUUUCGACCUAAAAUUAAGGAAUAAUUAAUCCUCAUACUCA
rnacentral:tRNA from 1 species